CGACUUUCGGCAACGGAUAUCUCGGCUCUCGCCACGAUGAAGAAUGUAGCGAAAUGCGAUACUUAGUGUGAAUUGCAGAAUCCCGUGAAUCAUCAAGUCUUUGAACGCCAGUUGCGCCCGAGGCCUCGGCCAAGGGCACGUCUGCUUGGGCGUCGCA
rnacentral:rRNA from 1 species